UUAUUAGUCAUUCCAGUGAAUGAAUGGUUCCUCAGUAAAUCUUAUCAAAUAAGUAAUAACUGUAGUCACCGGGCCGCUUAAUUAAAGAUAAUCCGUCUUUGAAGACUUAGAAUA
rnacentral:miRNA from 1 species